rnacentral:rRNA from 1 species
GACGAACGCUGGCGGCGUGCUUAACACAUGCAAGUCGAACGGAAAGGCCCUGCUUUUGUGGGGUGCUCGAGUGGCGAACGGGUGAGUAACACGUGAGUAACCUGCCCUUGACUUUGGGUUAACUUCAGGAAACUGGGGCUAAUACCUGAUAGGAGCUCCUGCUGCAUGGUGGGGGUUGGAAAGUUUCGGCGGUUGGAGAUGAACUCGCGGAUUAUCAGCUUGUUGGUGGGGUAGUGGCUUAACAAGGCUUUGACGGGUAGCCGGCCUGAGAGGGUGACCGGAAACAUUGGGACUGAGAUACGGCCCAGAAUCCUAAGGGAGGCAGAAGUCAGGAAUAUUGCAAAAUGGGCGGAAGCCAGAUGCAGCAACGCCGCGUGAGGGAAAACGGCAUUCAGGUUGUAAACCGCUUGCGCCUGUGACGAAGAGUGAGUGACGGUAAUGGGUAAAGAAGCACCGGCUAACUACGUG